AAACAAUGGAAUUUAGAAAGAAUCUAUGGAGGUCUCGAAAGAUUUGUAUUUUCAUCUUUCUUCCUUCUAUCUUUAAUCUACCUGGAAUCCAAUUAUGUAUACAACAAUUGAAUUAAUAAGCGAGCUGGGAGGAAGGAAGAAAUAUUCCUUAAAGGAGAAUUGCAGUUAAUAAAUGAAGAAGGAAUGAGCAAAAUAGAAAAUCACCAUUAGAACACCAUGGUGAUUUUGCUGCAGUCCCAAGGAGAGGUUCAAAGGAUUCUCCAAGGGAUCCUGACCCAGAGGAGUUUAAGACUCACUUGUCUGAGUUCAUACAUGGCUCCCAUUAAGCUUGUCUGUUAGAAAUUGCUUCAAACCAUUAAAAGGGUCAGUGCAUGAAGACCAAGUCCAGCAGAAACCAACACACUGAAGCCUGAAUAUGCUUGGUGGAUAUGCAAACUCUAAGAAGAUGGGAGGCAUUUCAUCUUGGGAACAGGGUUGAAGAGGUUGGACUAAGGCAGAAUGAUUAGAGAAAUACCGGAACACCAAGGACCUCUUAUUCCAAUGCUGUCAUGGGCUCCCUUUACUUGGGUUGGGAGCACCAAGUAAGGAGAGUCCUAUAAGAGAGCUACCAAAAUAGAGGCAGAACCAAAAGAUGGUGACACUCAAGGAAGCCUGUGAAUGGGUUUAAGAAGGAGAGUGACACAAUCAAUGUAUGUGUGUAAAAGAUCACUUUGGUUACUGUGUGGAGAAUGGGUUCUUCCUCCUUCCCAGGACCAAGCUACUGAUUUUCAUGGUUUGGACAGUUUCUCAGUUUAAGCAUUAAUAAGUCUCUACAGAGCAUAAGGAAAUGCCCCAUUUGGUGUAACUUUGCUCCUUCCCAUUGGUUAUGUCAGAACAGAGCUGACUUCUGCAGGACUCUGGACUCCAGGUUUUUACUCAGACCUUGGGAACAAAGAAUAAGCCCUGCCUCAUAGCUCUAUAUGAAUUGGAAUAAAACAAAGCCUCAAUUUUCUUAUUUUCCUAUAGGAAAUGUUAAAUAUUUGAUAACUACUAAAAACAUCUAGGCAGCAAUGGUUUUCUAGUUUUUUUUUUUUUAAUUUUUUUAAAUUUAUUAUGGUCCACAAAUUCAAUUAACAGUUUGGAUUAUUUUUUAAUUCAGGAAAAUGAGCGUUUGAGAGUUUUCAUUUCUAAUAUGUUGUAGCUACUAAAGGAAAUAUAGACUCUUACUAAACAGUUUUGCUUCCAGUAAGUACAGACUCUAAAGGGGACUUCUAGCUGAACAAACGCAAGUAGGCAAAAACCUAUCUCCAUUGUGGGUCCCAAAGACAAAGAGGGAGGUGAGCCCUGAAUUCACUGCUGUUUCCUGUGGUCACAGCAAGUGAAUAAGCAAUAGCCGCUUUGCCUUAAGAUGUGCCCAACCCAUAUUUGAAGUGUAAUAAUGAAGGUUUAAAACCAUCUUUAAACAAAAAUAAUAAAUUGCCAUAACUAUCAAAACAAUAUUUUAACAUAUUUCAAGUCUCCUUAUAAAUUAAGAGUUGGCUAUGUCAAAAAUCUAUCAACAUCUAUCAACAUCCCAGUCUUCCUGAAGUACUUCUUGAAGCCUGUGGCUGGCAGGAAGCAGUGCUGACCCCAUUCUCUCUCCCAGGCAUCACCCUCGUCCACCCUUCAAAGUCCAUCCUGGAGGCUGCCUGAAUUUCUAGGAAACCCAUUAAUCCAUUUGGUUGUCUCUUUUUCAGCCACUACUGUCAAAUCCUUUUACCUUUUAAAUGGGUGUGGAUGUCCCUAGGUGGGCAAGGUCUGGAAGGCAGGAUGGGGUCCCUUGGCUCAAGAGGGUGCUGGCCUCAGAUGAGGUGGUGGUGGGUGGGCAGGUGUGAGGAUAUCUACCAAAAUAUACAUAUUAUCACAGAAGUGUUGUG